AACGAACGCUGGCGGCAGGCCUAACACAUGCAAGUCGAACGAACCUUUAUGGUGAGUGGCGCACGGGUGCGUAACACGUGGGAAUAUACAUUUCGGUAAGGAAUAACGUAGAGAAAUUUGCGCUAAUACCUUAUAAUGACUCCGGUCCAAAGAUUUAUCGCCGAAGGAUUAGCCCGCGUCUGAUUAGGUAGUUGGUAGGGUAAAAGCCUACCAAGCCGGCGAUCAGUAGCUGGUCUGAGAGGAUGAUCAGCCACACUGGAACUGAGACACGGUCCAGACUCCUACGGGAGGCAGCAGUGAGGAAUAUUGGACAAUGGGGAAACCCUGAUCCAGCCAUGCCGCGUGAGUGACGAAGGCCUUAGGGUUGUAAAGCUCUUUCAGAUGCGAAGAUAAUGACGGUAACAUCAGAAGAAGCUCCGGCUAAAUUCGUGCCAGCCGCCGCCGUAA
rnacentral:rRNA from 1 species